GACGACGCUGGCGGCGUGCCUGACACAUGCAAGUCGGACGGUUCUUGUACCUUCAAGCUUGCUUGUUGGUGCAAGGAUAGUGGCGGACGGGUGAGUAACGCGUGAACAUCUACCCAUUGGAGGGGGACAACCCGUCGAAAGGCGGGCUAAUACCGCGUAAGCCGCGAGGUGAGAGGCUGCCUAUUGGUGGCCGCCGAUGGAUGGGUUCGCGUCCUAUCAGCUGGUUGGUGGGGUAACGGCCUACCAAGGCGAAGACGGGUAGCCGGUCUGAGAGGAUGGCCGGCCACACUGGAACUGAGACACGGUCCAGACUCCUACGGGAGGCAGCAGUGGGGAAUUUUGGACAAUGGGCGCAAGCCUGAUCCAGCCAUGCCGCGUGAGUGAAGAAGGCCUUCGGGUUGUAAAGCUCUUUCAGCCGGGAAGAAAACGCAUGGGUUAAUACCCUGUGUGGAUGACGGUACCGGAAUAAGAAGCACCGGCUAACUACGUG
rnacentral:rRNA from 1 species